UGACCUCUAUUUGCCUCCUGGAGCCCC
rnacentral:piRNA from 1 species